UCUUGGCUCAGUCGUAAUGAUCAUGGAAGACUCUGAUGCACCACACCACCUUCUGCUUCUUCGAUGCUUCAUGGCACAAUGCGUCAUGCACAAGCAGCCCCUGGUCUUUGCAGGACCUUUGAAGGAGCCGCGGUUGUUCCGUGGUACACUGCCUGCUCCUGUUUCGUCUUCAAAGGAGGAUGGAAGGCACCGAGUGAUGGGGGCUGGAGCAUGUAGUGAUGGACGAGGAAGUGAUGAGGGUUUGAGGAUAGCUUGGCAGUAUAAGAAAUAUUUUGGGGAUGAGAAGGCUUCUAUUCUAGUGCUGAACAUCCAGGUGGGUCCUUCACUCCCUGUCUUAAUCUUUCGUUUUAUUCUUUUGUUGUCUUGUUAGUGGUUUUCUGCAGUACACAUAUAGCCACCUGUACAGUUCAAAAUUUCGUGACAUGGAUAAUUAGAAAAUAUAUUAAAAAAGUAGAGAGCAUCAAUCAGUGAGCAAGCUGAGCAUUUCUGGCUCUUUGCCUUUGUAAUCAACUCAUUGAUGCUGAUCCUAGCUCAUUUGAUCAAGACCACACAGGUUAAAAUUUUCAUCAAGGCAAAUAUAUAGUACUGUUGUUGAAGCUAAGCUUUUAUCAUAUUCCCUUAAGAUGUCCAUGACAAGUCUGACUCAUUUAGCAUCGUUAGACAAAAUAAGCAAGAAUUCAGCAAUGAUUUUGAUUUGAGGAAGCCUUUGGAAAGGCAUUUACUUAAUGGGCAGAAUAUUGAAUGUGUAAGCACUCAAGAGGCAGACAAUCUCAGAGACCUCCAGGAUCACUGUUCCACUUUCUUAUCCAAGCUUCCAGGGUGAGGUUAAUUUUUAUUUUAUUGUUCAAAAAUUGCUUCCUUUGAGGAAUAUCAUGGUUUAGUUGCUGUACCCUUCAUCACCUGUUAGUCUAUCUGAACAUGCUGUUAUUGUUCAAUAACGAUAAGAUUGGUUAUACCCAUGCACUGUGUGUCUGCGCUAGUUUUGAUUCUGAACAUCUCUUUUGUUUUCCGCAUUCAGAAAAGAUGGUGAAAGUUUAGCUGCUGGGAGAAAUGCUAUACAAUCACUCUGUGCACCCCAGUGUGGAUACUUUGAGAAGGCAUUUAACUCAACAUUAUCAGUGUGUUAAAAAUGUGAAGCCUAUUUGUUUUUAUUCUUUUCUACCUACAUUUUGGUGUGGUUGCAACUUCCAAGUCGUUAGAUCUUCAUUUGCAGGACUGGGACAUGAUCCAGUUUAUCAGGUCGCUGAAGGCCAUGGUGCGCUCAUCUAAUUCUGCUGCUGUUAUAACAUUUCCGAGUACAGUUCUGUCAAAUUCCUUUUGCAGGAGGUGGCAGCAUCUUGCAGAUACACUGUUGUCCAUCAAAGAAAUUCCAGGCAAGCUUGACCUUCAAACUUUGUGUCUUGAUAACCAUUUCAACCUGGUAUAUUGUCCAGCCUUUUGAUUGCCUGGUUGUGGUUACAAAUGAGGACAAAGACUGGGCAAAACUCCUCACAGGAUAUCAAGAUAUGGUUGGUUUUUGACAAGUCCAUAAGGUGGCACAGACUAAUAGCCAGGUCCCUAUGAUCUUAGAGGCAUCCACACUUUCUCUGAAGCUGCACAAGAGGAGGUCACUGAUGCUAGAACGGUUGAACCAGGCUCCAGUCGAUGGGUCAAGCGGGCCUUCAUCUGCUGCAUCAGGCAGUUGCUCAUCGUCACAAGGCUCACAGCUUGAUUUCUAGUUCAGAUUCAGAUGGUUUGACAGAUCUAACUCUAACAUGGCAGCACAGCUGUGUUACAUACCUGUUACUCUAGAAAAAAAAUGCAAUUUUUUGAGGUUUAGCUCUUAAAUUAGGCUGGAGACAGUUUGAUGACUGACGUUAAUUGGACCCCCCCCCAUGUAUCUUUCAGCUUGUUGUACACCACUGCCAGUAGCAUUUGAACAGGCUAAAUUUGUGUAUUACUAUCUGCUGGU